AACCUAGCACACCUGCGGUGUGUACCUGCGGAAGGAUCAUUACCAGAGAGCCUUUUGGCACUCCAACCCAUUGUGAACAUACCUAUCGUUCCCUCGGCGGGCUCAGCGCGCGGGGCCUCCGGGCUUCCGGGCGUCCGCCGGGGACAACCAAACCCUGAUUUACUACGUGUAUCUCUGAGGGGCGAAAGCCCGAAAACAAAAUAAAUCAAAACUUUCAACAACGGAUCUCAGAUCGGAAGA
rnacentral:misc_RNA from 1 species